CACGUCAGCGCGAGUUGCUGACGUGGCAUCAAAUCGUGUCCUAAAGGGCGCAAUUUGUUGCCACGUCAGCAACUCACGCUGACGUGG
rfam:Gossypium raimondii chromosome 12, whole genome shotgun sequence.